AAUAUGAAGCAAUGCAGAUACGCAGCCAAAAAAGCAGGAGGAACAUGUGCCUUGAUUUCAUAUUGCAAAGCCCAAAAAGAGACAAGAAAAAGUGGAAACGGUACUGGCCAACCUGUGAGGAAGCAAAUGGUCUUUCAGUAUAUUUCUCCCUCCUGUUUCCAGGGGAAAAAACAGCAUGGCGGCUAGGAUUCUCCCCAUCUUUCUCUUCAGGUUGUAUGUUCAUGAGAAAGUGUUGCACAGUUUUUCCUAUAGGUCAUUCUGGAAUUUUUCUUUAAGGCUCUUUGUGAGUAUUAGACUGUAAACCUUUCCUCCAUCGGCAAGAGGCAACACCAGUACCAUAGCGCUUCGCUUCUUUUUUCCAUAUCUGUUACUUUAACAGUUCUCUUGUGUGUGGAGAAGCACUGAGAGGAGCUCGGAGAUGAUGACUGCUAUGCAAGCUAUGUAAAUGUGUGGAGGUUUCGGAGCCCACAGAGGCACCAUCUCACUGAUGGUGGAUGUGACCUUCUGUGAAUCCUGUUCUCAUGGUGCAAGCCAAUCCGUGCUGCUCAGGGGAGACACAGAUGCCGCGAGGCUGAUCCCAUCGGCUUCAGGCAGUCCCUUACUGC